UCGUUGGAUGUUUUCAAACUCCGGAAUUUCUCAUCUCUGAAUCCUUUACAAUGUUUAACAUGUACAACAGUACAAAUUUGGUGCAAGAAGGUUGCGUUAAUAAAUGUGAUAUGGAGAAUGCUUGUAGAAAUGGUGGGAAAUGUGUAAAUCAGUACACGAACACAAUAUGUGAUUGCAGCCACACUGGAUUCAUUGGCUGGAACUGUGACACUCCUGAUGACGUAGUUAUUACCCUACAAGGGGAGGAGUAUCUUGAGUAUAAUGUUAACACCAAAUCUGAGAAUACUUACUCACCUAGUGUGUACGUGCACAUAAAUUUUAAGGUG